rnacentral:rRNA from 1 species
ACGAACCGUACGAACGUUAUUCGGAUUCACUGGGCUUAAAGGGUGCGUAGGCGGCUGGGAAAGUUGGGUGUGAAAUCCCUCGGCUCAACCGAGGAAUUGCGCCCAAAACUUCCUGGCUUGAGGGAGAUAGAGGUGAGCGGAACUAAUGGUGGAGCGGUGAAAUGCGUUGAUAUCAUUAGGAACACCUGUGGCGAAAGCUGCUCACUGGGUCUUUUCUGACGCUGAGGCACGAAAGCUAGGGGAGCGAACGGGAUUAGAUACCCCGGUAGUCCUAGCCGUAAACGAUGAGCACUGGGUUGAGGGGACUUCCACAUCCUCUCGGCCGUAGCGAAAGUGUUAAGUGCUCCGCCUGGGGAGUAUGGUCGCAAGGCUG